UACAGAGGGUGCGAGUGUUAAUCGGAAUUACUGGGCGUAAAGCGUGCGUAGACGGUUUCGUAAGUCGGGUGUGAAAUCCCCGGGCUCAACCUGGGAAUUGCAUUCGAAACUGCGAGGCUAGGGUACUGAAGAGGGAAGCGGAAUUUCUGGUGUAGCGGUGAAAUGCGUAGAUAUCAGAAGGAACACCAGUGGCGAAAGCGGCCUCCUGGUCCAAUACUGACACUGAAGUGCGAAAGCGUGGGGAGCGAACAGG
rnacentral:rRNA from 1 species